rnacentral:rRNA from 1 species
GAUGAACGCUGGCGGCGUGCCUAACACAUGCAAGUCGAGCGAUUCUCUUCGGAGAAGAGCGGCGGACGGGUGAGUAACGCGUGGGUAACCUGCCCUGUACACACGGAUAACAUACCGAAAGGUAUGCUAAUACGAGAUAAUACACUUUUAUCGCAUGGUAGAAGUAUCAAAGCUCCGGCGGUACAGGAUGGACCCGCGUCUGAUUAGCUAGUUGGUGAGGUAACGGCUCACCAAGGCGACGAUCAGUAGCCGACCUGAGAGGGUGAUCGGCCACAUUGGAACUGAGACACGGUCCAAACUCCUACGGGAGGCAGCAGUGGGGAAUAUUGCACAAUGGGCGAAAGCCUGAUGCAGCAACGCCGCGUGAGCGAUGAAGGCCUUCGGGUCGUAAAGCUCUGUCCUCAAGGAAGAUAAUGACGGUACUUGAGGAGGAAGCCCCGGCUAACUACGUGCCAGCCGCCGCAGUAA